GGCCUCCCUCUGUGGGGCAAUCGAUUGUGGAGCCACCAGAUCGAUCACCCCGCAGAGGGAGGCC
rfam:Myotis brandtii contig248798, whole genome shotgun sequence.